CAGGGCAGAAAGGUGACGACUGCAAAAAGCAAACCACAUUUGUUAGCAGUCCAUGGAUCACAGCCAACAAUCCUUCUGCAGCAAGAUCCAUCACACCCAGUGAUAUACACGGGAGAACAAGUCAAACUCACUUGUAGCAUUCAAGAAAAGACUUCAAAAUGGCAAUAUCUUUGGCAAAAAGAUUCACAGCAAGUAAACACAGACAACAAUCCCAUUUACACUAUUAAAAAUGCUACAUGCUCUCAAAAAGGGGAAUACACUUGCCAAGUAAGAAGGGGAGAGAUGACAUAUGCAAAGUCUACAAUAUUGACAAUAAGAGAGCCACCUAAACCAAAACUGUCAAUAGCGCCUGAAUGGAAUAUGUUUUACCCAACUGAGAAAGUGACUCUGAAGUGUUCAGUUGAUGAAGAGUCAAAUAAAUGGGUCUAUGAAUGGUUUAAAAACGGAACUCGGCUUCUCAAGGAUAAAGACACUUCCUUUUCCAGAAACAUGCUCUCCAUCAGAUCAGCAAAAGCGGGUCAUUCAGGACAGUACACCUGCAGAGGAAAACAUCUGAUGAGAACAUCGGUGACUACAAGAGAAAUGGAAGCUGUGCAACUUCAUAUUA